rnacentral:tRNA from 2 species
GCCGCUGUAGCUCAGUUGGUAGAGCAACUGAUUCGUAAUCAGUAGGUCCCCAGUUCGAGUCUGGGCAGCGGCACCA